rnacentral:rRNA from 1 species
UACGGAGGGCCCAAGCGUUGUUCGGAUUCACUGGGCGUAAAGGGUGCGUAGGUGGUGAGGUAAGUCGGAUGUGAAAUCUCGGAGCUCAACUCCGAAAUGGCAUUGGAAACUACCUCGCUAGAGGAUCGGAGGGGAGACUGGAAUUCUCGGUGUAGCAGUGAAAUGCGUAGAUAUCGAGAGGAACACCAGUGGCGAAGGCGAGUCUCUGGACGAUUCCUGACGCUGAGGCACGAAAGCCAGGGGAGCAAACGGG